rnacentral:lncRNA from 1 species
UUUACAGCAACAGGUUGAGGACAAAAAUGGAAGAGGCAUGACUGGUACAGCUUUCUUCCAUGGAAGCAGAUGAGAUGAAAAGGCCCUGGUGGUGUUGGUUGACUGCCAUCUCAAGAUAAGCCAGUGGUGUGCUGAGGUGCAUCAGAUUCAUGCAGCACACUGGCCUGUAUUAGCAAUAGUGUGGCCAGCAGGACCGGGGCAGUGAUUGUGCCCCUGUCUCAGCACUGGUGAGGCUGCACCCCAAAUCCUGUGUUCUGUUCUGGGCCCUUCACUACAAGAAAGUCAUUGCGGUGCUGGAGCUUGUCCAGAGAAAGAUAAUGAAGCUGAUGAAAGGAACUGGAACACAAGUCUUGUGCGGGACAGCUGAGGGAGCUGGGGGUGUUUAGCCUGGAGAAAAGUAGUCUCAGAAGGGACCUUAUCACUUUCUACAAAUGUCUGAAAGGAGAUUGUAGCAAGCUGGGGGCUGGUCUCUUCUCCCAGGCAACAAGCUCUAGGAUAAGAGAAAUGACUCAAGGUGUGCCAGGGGAGGUUUGGAUUGGGUAUUGGGAAGACCUUCACUGAAAGAGUUGUCAAGCAUUGGAGCAGGCUGCCCAGUCACCACCCCUGGAGGUACUUAAAAGCCAUGUAGAUGUGGCACUUGGGGGACAGUGUUUGCUGGUGGUCUUGGUAGUGCUGGGUUAACACUUCGACUUGAUGCUCUCAAAGGUCUUUCCCAAGCUAAAAGAUUCUGUUAUUUGGCUAAGCUUCACGGGAAUUUUAUUUGAUAGCUACCAUAUUUUGGGUGCAUAUAUUACAGGAUCUGCAGGAAGAAUUGCUCCCAGUUCUUUUGGAGACAGUCAAGGAAGGAUGGAGGAAAGCAUAUUCCUGCAAAAAGGAGCUGGUUUUUAUUUUUCAGGAUACUUGAAGAAUGAAAGUCCCAAAGACAGGGGUGUGCAAUCCAGCAAGAAUAAAGUGUAUGUAGAUGUGUAUGGGCAAGGGAUAUAUCCAGCUCUAGAUGCAGUGUACAAGGUUUAACAAAAUGAAGCAACACAUUUCUAAAUGGGGACUCUGAUGCUGUAGCUGCAUUAUAUUGUUUGUCUAUGAACUACACGAGACAUAUGUCAUUUUAGCACUGUUAUUACUAGUUUAUAAAGCCAUAUUUGAAAUUGUACACUUAAUUGUAACAUAACUUUAAAUCGUGCACUGUGUUGAUCAAUGUACAUAUAUAUGAAGAUCUGUAUAUUUUGUCUUUAUGCUGUAUGUCAUUGGUGUGUAAAUUAUAACUAAUGGAUCUAAGAUACCUUUCUGGUUCAUGUCCUUAUUCUGUGUCUGUGUUUUCUGUAGAGCUGUGAACAGCUGAGAGUUGCUCUCUUGAGAGUGGGAAUUGCAUGAAACUUUAAUGACCAGUCAGUUAAGCCCUCAUCUCCCCAGGCAAAUACUUUAGCCGCCAGCAUUGUUUGAAUGGAGCCAUUCUGUCACUGAUCCCCUCUCCCCUUGACUCUCAGGAAGGAUUUCAG